rnacentral:lncRNA from 1 species
CAACAACAGGAGGAGGAGAAGGAUGCAAGGCAAGAGCAGGAGCUGCAGAAGAAGCAACUGGUACCCUGAAUCCUCAGCACUUUCUUACAAGUUAAAGAGCCUGUUCAAUGAAGCAGAGGAGACAUCUACCCUCACUGUCCUGGAGUUCUUGGGGCUGCGUUCCCAGAAUGGGGGAUUACAGCCAGACCAGGGCACACAGUGUCUACGUACACCAACUGCCUCACCACCUUGCUUUUUUCAAAACCGGGAAACAGGAGACCUCAGUUUUGGAGAGAGGGCUAAGACCAUUUUCCUGCUCUGCAGGAAGGACACUUCUGAGACCGCCUGCCUGGCCCUCAAGCACCCUUGGGGUAGCUACUACACCUACUAAGGGACACCACUAGUGUGCAGAUGCUAUGCCCCUCAGACCCCCGCUGGGAGCUNUUGGUCACUCAUGUGGGUGCACCCUUGACCUCAGCACAGCCUCACUCCUUCUGCACUGGGAACCACAGCCCAGGGAGCCAAAACUCCAUUCCCAAAAUGAAACCAGGGAUAUAAAUACUGCCAGGUCUUCACUAAGGCUGCAGCAUGCAGAUGGUAGUGCUCCCAUCCCACUUCCGAUCCACAUUAAAGGCCAGCAAAUGCAUUUUGGAAGUGCAUUUUAUGUGGAUUAAGGCAUUAGCAUGUGGACGCUACCACCUCUAAGCUGCUUUUGAGCCCCUUUCUUUUACUGUGUGUGGAUGCAACCAGNCACUCAANGAAGCACAUCCACAGAAAUGCAGGGAAACGGCAGCAUUGUCAGCUGCAAAAAAACCCUCCAUGUCAUUCCACAGGAGGCAGAUAUGAGGCUGUUUACCAAACAGAAACAGAGCUCAGAGGAUUAAGGAUGCCUGAGGCGCAGGUUAAAACCCACGAGCCAGGCUUCCAAACAGGGAAGCCUGUUUCUGGGGAAAUCCCUGUUGAGAUUUGGGUUUUCCCAGAAUAGGAUAUAGCAGAAUUUCACCCCUCUGUUGGGGUUGCCGCAGAUACGUGUGGCAAUCCCAAUGCAGUCGUGACAUAUUUCUGCAUUUUAAUCCCUAUCUGGAUGAAGCCUAAAGUGCUACUAGACCCCCUUGUUUACUGACCCAGACUAACCUUGCUACACCUUUGAGUUCCUCCAAAUGGAGAUGGCUUUAAAGUGGUCCCUUAAACAUUCCUGGCUGUGGGCCAGUCAAGCUGUCCACCAUGCAGAUGGCUGGACUGGCGCAAGCACUUCUUGGAGCCCAGAGCCAUUUCACUUAGAAGUG